GAAUUUAGCUUACGAAAUCAUUCUUACGCUAGGACAAGCAUUUGAAGUGGCCUAUCAGCUUGCACUACAAGCACGGAAAGGAGGCCAUUCCUCAACCCUCCCAGAAAGCUUUGAAAACAAACCCUCUAAACCUAUCCCUAAACCACGCGUUAGUAUUCGGAAGUCAGUGGAAGAAGAAAGCAGCCAUGAGUACAUGGGAGUGUAGACACCACCCUACUCGCUGCUGUAGGACUUUGUCGAUUCAGGAUUUGUUCUGUGUUCUGUUAGCUUAAAGAAAAAGCUUCUGCUCGAGCGGCUGUGCAGAGAUGGUAACCCAUCUGUAUGUUUGUGUUUGUCUUAAAGCAAAUAGAUCCAUCCGAACAAAAGACUCUUGCGAAUCUACCGUGGAUUGUUGAACCUGGACAAGAGGCCAAAAGAGGCAUUAAUACCAAGUAUGAAACUACAAUUUUCUGAUCCAAAACUGUCCCCUUGUUCCUUGUUGUGCCUUGCACACCAAGCAGUCACAGCACAGCCUUUCCUUUAUGGCAACGUUUCAAUCCAGCAGAGAGGAAGACUGCACUGUAUGAGUGGCCUUGUAACUAACAAAAAAGGCUGACAGUCAUUUCUGGUGAUGUCCUUCUUCCUGCAGCACUGACAGAAGAAUGACACUAUAUGAAGACUUUUAAAAUUACAGUCCACAAGAGGAGUGAGAAACCUUAUUUUUCAUGCAGUUCUCCCUUGUGACUCUGCCACAGUGCUUUCUUUGAUUUCUUAUUUUGGAAUUCUACUUUUUAAAGAAAAAGAAAAAACAAAAGGUCUCUAAACUAAUACUAAUGCUGCCUAUGAGUAGAGUAUUUGAUUGGGUUUUUUAUUUAAAUAUUGGCAGUUUUUAAUUGAAAUAGAACCAGAAUUAAUAAAUAGACUAUUUGUGAAACCACUGAAUUCAUUAAUAAUUACUGUGUUGAAUAAAAAACUCAUUAAAGUGACAAGAAAUUAGGCACCCUGAUUUCUGUGUGCACUGAUUUUAUAUGUAAUCAUUGAUGUCCUUUGAUCCUCUACAGAAAUAAGAACCUCUUGCAUUGUAGCAAAGGAUCAGAGUUUUAUGAACGGUUAGAAAAAGGUAUUAAUAAUGCACAGAAAACAUUUAUUAGAUAUUUUUAUGGAAGAGAAGUACUAUAGGAAAACAUAUGACUAUUUAUGGAAGGAAGCCAGAUUAAUUAUGAGAAAUAUUGUUUAUUUUAAAGUUAAGGAAACGACUGCUAUUGCAGCAUUAUGGAAACUAUAAGAGUUGUAGCAUCAGUGCACUGGAUGUUCUGUGUGAUCAGUCUGGAAUGAAAGUGGAAUGGUCAUUCUACUACACCUACAUAUAGUUUAUGCAGUUCAACAUUGCUAUAGCCAUGAAUUCUACUAGUAUUUUUAAAAAGUAAUCUCAGUGGUUAUAAAAAAAAUCAAAACCAUGGAUUUUGCUAUCAAGAUUUCUGUCACAGAAAGCUUGUUUGGAAGAGUGUUGAUAAAAUUCUACUGCAAAAGAUUUUCUAAAUAAAAAUAGCAAGAAAAAGAAAAAAAUUCCAAAGUAAUAAAAAUGUUUUCAUGGAACAAAAUAGUAAAGCAUUUGGUUAAUAUUUGAUUAAAUAAGAUUUACUUACUUUUUCUUUGAAGCGUUUUAAUUUUUUUAAUGUCUGUGGAGUAUUUGUAUAAUACCAUGAUGUAUAUUUAUGUAGAACUGAAAUUAUAACAGUACAAAUAUCAUUAUAGGAAAAAAAUGACAUUUUAACGUAUAUUGUUCUAUCCAGUCAAAUUGUGAAUCAUUUUGAAGUUCAUUAUAGAGGUAUUGAUAAA